rnacentral:rRNA from 1 species
AAGAUCACGUGCUGACGUAGAGCCUACGCUAGUAGUCCGAUCUGUACGGACGACACGUCCAGAGCUAACUGCUGUUCUCGACGAGCUAACCAGAAAGCCAAGGCUACUACGUGCUAGCAGCCCGGUAAACGUUAGUGCUAGCGUCGUACUGAACUAUUGGCCUAAAGCGCGCGCAGGUGGUCCCUUAGUCUGAUGUGAAAGCCCCGCUCAACCUCGGAGGGUCAUUGGAAACUGGGGAACUGAGUGCAGAAGAGGAAAGUGGAACUUUCCUAGUGUAGCGGUGAAAUGGGUAGAGGUUUGGAGGAACACCAGUGGCGAAGGCGUCUUUUCUCGUCUGUUACUGACACUGAGGCGCGAAAAGCGUGGCGGAGCAAAACACGAUUAGAUACCCUGGUCGUCCACACCGUAAACGAUGAGUGCUAAGUGUUAGAGGGUUUCCGCCCUUUAGUGCUGCAGCUAACGCAUUAAGCACUCCGCCUGGGGAGUACGGCCGCAAGGCUGAAACUCAAAGGAAUUGACGGGGGCCCGCACAAGCGGUGGAGCAUGUGGUUUAAUUCGAAGCAACGCGAAGAACCUUACCAGGUCUUGACAUCCUCUGACAACCCUAGAGAUAGGGCUUUCCCCUUCGGGGGACAGAGUGACAGGUGGUGCAUGGUUGUCGUCAGCUCGUGUCGUGAGAUGUUGGGUUAAGUCCCGCAACGAGCGCAACCCUUGAUCUUAGUUGCCAGCAUUCAGUUGGGCACUCUAAGGUGACUGCCGGUGACAAACCGGAGGAAGGUGGGGAUGACGUCAAAUCAUCAUGCCCCUUAUGACCUUGGCUACACACGUGCUACAAUGGAUGGUACAAAGGGCUGCAAACCUGCGAAGGUAAGCGAAUCCCAUAAAGCCAUUCUCAGUUCGGAUUGUAGGCUGCAACUCGCCUACAUGAAGCCGGAAUCGCUAGUAAUCGCGGAUCAGCAUGCCGCGGUGAAUACGUUCCCGGGCCUUGUACACACCGCCCGUCACACCACGAGAGUUUGUAACACCCGAAGUCGGUGAGGUAACCUUUAUGGAGCCAG